rnacentral:rRNA from 1 species
CUUGGUCAUUUAGAGGAGUAAAAGUCGUAACAAGGUUUCCGUAGGUGAACCUGCGGAAGGAUCAUUAAAAAAAGAGAAACGUCCCGUUUUUUUCAUAAGAAUGGGUUCUAUUCCCUUAAACCGUGUCUACAUACCUUUGUUGCUUUGGCAGGCCGCCUUCGGGCGUCGGCUCCGGCUGAUAGUGCCUGCCAGAGGACCAAACUCUAUGUUUAGUGAUGUCUGAGUACUAUAUAAUAUUUAAAACUUUCAACAACGGAUCUCUUGGUUCUGGCAUCGAUGAAGAACGCAGCGAAAUGCGAUAAGUAAUGUGAAUUGCAGAAUUCAGUGAAUCAUCGAAUCUUUGAACGCACAUUGCGCCCCUUGGUAUUCCGAGGGGCAUGCCUUUCGAGCGUCAUUAUAACCACUCAAGCCUGGCUUGGUAUUGGGGCUUUCGCGUGUUCGCGGCCCUUAAAAUCAGUGGCGGUGCCGUCUGGCUCUAAGCGUAGUAAUUUCUCUCGCUAUAGGGUUCCGGUGGUUACUUGCCAAAACCCCCCAUUUUUUCUAGGUUGACCUCGGAUCAGGUAGGGAUACCCGCUGAACUUAAGCAUAUCAAUAAGCGGAGGA